CNGGAAAUGUUGACUUCUCCAGUGCCUGGC
rnacentral:piRNA from 1 species